rnacentral:misc_RNA from 1 species
GAUGAAGAACGUAGUAAAAUGCGAUAAGUAGUGUGAAUUGCAGAAUUCAGUGAAUCAUCGAAUCUUUGAACGCACAUUGCGCCCCUUGGUAUUCCAUGGGGCAUGCCUGUUCGAGCGUCAUUACAACCCUCAAGCUCAGCUUGGUGUUGGGCCCCGCCGCCCCGGCGGGCCCUAAAGUCAGUGGCGGUGCCGUCCGGCUCCGAGCGUAGUAAUUCUUCUCGCUCUGGAGGUCCGGUCGUGUGCUCGCCAGCAACCCCCAAUUUUUUUCAGGUUGACCUCGGAUCAGGUAGGGAUACCCGCUGAACUUAAGCAUAUCAAUAAGCGGAGGA